rnacentral:rRNA from 1 species
UUGACAUACUAAGAACUUUCCAGAGAUGGAUUGGUGCCUUUCGGGAACUUAGAUACAGGUGCUGCAUGGCUGUCGUCAGCUCGUGUCGCGAGAUGUUGGGUUAAGUCCCGNAACGAGCGCAACCCUUUUCCUUAUUUGCCAGCGGGUCAUGCCGGGAACUUUAAGGAUACUGCCAGUGACAAACUGGAGGAAGGCGGGGACGACGUCAAGUCAUCAUGGCCCUUACGGCCAGGGCUACACACGUGCUACAAUGGUCGGUACAAAGGGUUGCUACCUCGCGAGAGGAUGCUAAUCUCAAAAAGCCGAUCGUAGUCCGGAUCGCAGUCUGCAACUCGACUGCGUGAAGUCGGAAUCGCUAGUAAUCGCGGAUCAGAAUGCCGCGGUGAAUACGUUCCCGGGCCUUGUACACACCGCCCGUCACACCAUGGGAGUUUGUUGCACCAGAAGUAGGUAGUCUAACCGCAAGGAGGACGCUUACCACGGUGUGGCCGAUGACUGGGGUGAAGUCGUAACAAGGUAGGCGUAGAUGA